rnacentral:rRNA from 1 species
CAGUAGCCGCGGGAAUACGAAGGGUGCAAGCGUUACUCGGAAUUACUGGGCGUAAAGCGUGCGUAGGUGGUUUGUUAAGUUGGAUGUGAAAUCCCCGGGCUCAACCUGGGAACUGCAUUCAAAACUGACUGACUAGAGUAUGGUAGAGGGUGGUGGAAUUUCCUGUGUAGCGGUGAAAUGCGUAGAUAUGGGAAGGAACACCAGUGGCGAAGGCGACCACCUGGACUAAUACUGACACUGAGGUGCGAAAGCGUGGGGAGCAAACAGGAUUAGAGACCCCCGUAGUCCCUGUCUCUUAUAU